rnacentral:lncRNA from 1 species
GCCACGUAAGAGGUGACUUUGCUGCUCCUCCGCCUUCCACCAUGAUUGUGAGGCCUCCCCAGCCAUGUGGAACUAUCUUUGCAUGUUCUGUCCAGCAAGUUCUCUCUCCAUGAAGACCAUACCACCUAAAGUGACCCCAUCUCAGUCUGUCUGUUGGUAGACCUCCUGCAAUCAACUGAAGGCCUGAAUAAAACAAAAGACUGGCCUCCUCCCAAGCAAGAGUGAAAAUUUGACAUAUCCCCAGACUGGACUGAGUGAGCUGCUUUAGGAAGCUGUAUGUUUUUGGAAUUUAAUUCAAAUUUAAAUGAGGUUUCCUGCAUGUUUGGACAUUAUACCUCAGAGCCGUGGGUGCCAGAGCCCUGUCCUAUGAAUGUGUCUCUUCUGAAAAUUGCUCUAGGGAUUGGUUUUACUGAUUGGACAAAAAAUAUUUUGAACCAAUUAUAACAAAAUAGCUCAUUUCUCUUUUAUAUACAUCAUGCAAUGUCUUCACAAUCAGAUUAUGAGAUCUCUAAUUACAGAAGAGGAUUUUUAUAUUUCCUACUAGCAAACAUUUGUCCACAAAAGUUAUGAAAAACAGCUGUUAUCUGGAAUGUGGCUUGAAAUAUAUCCUGUUACUCUAAAAUGGUAUUGAUAUGAUUUAUAGUUGUCCUAUUGCAGCGAUUUUAUAAGAACUCAAUCCACAGCUCUUCUAACAUGUCUUGACAGCUUUAUUGAGAUACAAUUUACACAUUAAAAAACUGCAUGCAUUUAAUAUGUACAAUUUGAAUAUUUUUGGCAUAUCUAUGCCCAUAGGAAUUUAUCAUCUACAACCAAGAAAAUCAACAUCUCCAUCAGUCCCCUAAAUUUUCUUCUGUCCCUAUGUAAUCCCUCUUCCUACCUGCCAUCACUAGGUGGUAUGGGCUAAAUUGUGCACUGCCCAUCCCCUCCCCUCCCAUUUUAUAUGUUGAAGUCCUAAUCCCUAGCACCUCAAAACAUGACUGUGUUUGGAAACAGGCCUUCAAAGAGGUGAUUAAGCUACAACAAGGCUGUUAGGAUGAACCCUAAUCUGAUCUGACUGGUGUUCCUAUAAGAAAAGAAAAUUAAGACACACAAAGAGAUACCAGGGUAUAUUUACACAUAGAGGAGACCGCGUGAGGUACAAAGAGAGAAGGCAGCCAUCUGCAAGCUAACAAAAGAAAUCUCAGAAUGAAAUCAACCCACCAACACCUGAUUUCAGACUUCUAGCUUCUGAAACUGAGAGAAAAUAUCUGUUGUUUAAACCAUCAGUCUGUGGUACUUUCUUAGAGCAGCCCUAGCAAACUAUCAUACCAGGCAACCACUGACUAGCCUUCUGUCACUAUAGAUUAGAUUGUAUUUUCUGGAAUUUUAUAUAAAUGUACUCUUUUGGUCUGGCUUGUUUCAUUCAGUAUAAGUUAUUUGAGAUCCAUCCAUGUUGGGUUGUAUCAAUAAUUCAUUCCUUUUUAUUAUUAAUAUUUUGUUGAAUGGAUAUACCACAGUUUAUUCAUCCAUUUAUUUGUUACUGGACAUUUAGGUUGUUUUCUGGUUGAACUGUUACAAAUCAAGCUUCUAUGGACAUUUAUUUACAAGUCUUUUAUGAAUAUGUGCUUUCUUUGAUCUUGGGUAAAUAUCCAAGGUUGGAAUGGCUGGGUCAUAUGAUAGGAGUAUGCUAACCUCUUUAAGAAACUGCUAAACUAUUUUCCAAAAAUUGUACCAUUUUACAUUCCCACCAGCAGUCUUUGAGAGCUCCAGUUGCUCCGUAUCUUUGCCUAAAACUAGUAUGGUCCAUCUUUUUUAAUGUAAUUGUUCUAAUAGGUAUAUAACAGUAUGCUAUUGUGCUUUUUAAAUUUGCAUUGUAUUAUGACAGUGGUAUUGAUGAUCAUCUUUUCAUUGCUUAUUUACCGAAGUACAUCUUUUUUGGUAAAGUGUUUACAUUUUUGCAUUCUUUUUUGAGUUGUUUUUUUAUUACUGAGUUUUGCAGUUUUUAAGUAUAUUCUG